ACUUAACUUGGAGUCCGAACUCUCACUUUCUAACCCUGUGCACUUGUUUGGGAUAGUAACUCUCGCAAGAGAGCGAACUCCUAUUCACUUAUAAACACAAAGUCUAUGAAUGUAUUAAAUUUUAUAACAAAAUAAAACUUUCAACAACGGAUCUCUUGGCUCUCGCAUCGAUGAAGAACGCAGCGAAAUGCGAUAAGUAAUGUGAAUUGCAGAAUUCAGUGAAUCAUCGAAUCUUUGAACGCACCUUGCGCUCCAUGGUAUUCCGUGGAGCAUGCCUGUUUGAGUGUCAUGAAUACUUCAACCCUCCUCUUUCUUAAUGAUUGAAGAGGUGUUUGGUUUCUGAGCGCUGCUGGCCUUUACGGUCUAGCUCGUUCGUAAUGCAUUAGCAUCCGCAAUCGAACUUCGGAUUGACUUGGCGUAAUAGACUAUUCGCUGAGGAAUUCUAGUCUUCGGACUAGAGCCGGGUUGGGUUAAAGGAAGCUUCUAAUCAGAAUGUCUACAUUUUAAGAUUAGAUCUCAAAUCAGGUAGGACUACCCGCUGAACUUAAGCAUAUCAAUAAGCCGGAGGAA
rnacentral:rRNA from 1 species